rnacentral:misc_RNA from 1 species
AGUCAUCAACCCCUUCCGUUUCGUGCGGACCGGGUUGGAUGUGGGGGCUCUGCUGCCGUGAGGCGGCUCCCCUCAAAUGCAUCGGUUGGGCCUGUGGGUCGAACUCGACUGGGCGUUGUACCAUCCUCGCUCGACAGAGAUGUUCCCCUCCUGUGCCCUUCCCCGACCUGCCUCUCAGAGUGGCGGUCACAAGCAUAAGCUUUGAA